rnacentral:rRNA from 1 species
GAUGAACGCUGGCGGCGUGCCUAAUACAUGCAAGUAGAACGCUGAAGGAAGGAGCUUGCUCUUUCCGGAUGAGUUGCGAACGGGUGAGUAACGCGUAGGUAACCUGCCUGGUAGCGGGGGAUAACUAUUGGAAACGAUAGCUAAUACCGCAUAACAGUAGAUGUUGCAUGAUAUCUACUUAAAAGGUGCAAUUGCACCACUACCAGAUGGACCUGCGUUGUAUUAGCUAGUUGGUGAGGUAACGGCUCACCAAGGCGACGAUACAUAGCCGACCUGAGAGGGUGAUCGGCCACACUGGGACUGAGACACGGCCCAGACUCCUACGGGAGGCAGCAGUAGGGAAUCUUCGGCAAUAGACGGAAGUCUGACCGAGCAACGCCGCGUGAGUGAAGAAGGUUUUCGGAUCGUAAAGCUCUGUUGUAAGAGAAGAACGAGGGUGAGAGUGGAAAGUUCACACUGUGACGGUAUCUUACCAGAAAGGGACGGCUAACUACGUG